UACGGAGGGUGCAAGCGUUGUCCGGAUUUAUUGGGCGUAAAGAGCGUGUAGGCGGUCAGGUAGGUCCGUUGUGAAAACUCGAGGCUCAACCUCGAGACGCCGAUGGAAACCAUCUGACUAGAGUCCGGAAGAGGAGAGUGGAAUUCCUGGUGUAGCGGUGAAAUGCGCAGAUAUCAGGAAGAACACCCGUGGCUAAGGCGGCUCUCUAGUACGGUACUGACGCUGAGACGCGAAAGCGUGGGGAGCGAACAGG
rnacentral:rRNA from 1 species